rnacentral:lncRNA from 10 species
CGCCGUCGUCUGCCCCCCGCGAGGCUGGGGAGCGCGGCCGAAAGCCAUGCCCCUCUUCGUGCCCACUGUAGCAGCUGAGCGGGAGGGGUCCUGCUGGGGGCCGGGGCCGGGCGGGAAAGAAGAGGGCUCCUCCCCCGCGGCUUGGGAGGGCUGCUGAACGCCGGAGCCUUACAACUGUUAAACUCAGGCAGAGCUCGGGAAAUGCUGCCCGGAUGGGUGACUGAUGGAGAGGGGCUACCACUCUUCCAGCUAAACUCCGCUCUGGUUGGGACCCAGCAAUUAUUUUCCAUAGCGAAGUGUUAAUAAAAUAUCUGUUACUCCCAACACAACCUCCUGGGGGAAGGGACCUGUCUGUCUGCUUCAACUUUGGAUCCUCAGUGCCCACAUCAGGAUACCUGGCCUGAGAGCAUCCGGUGACCCAGUUUUAGGUCUCAAGGUCACUGCCAAGAAAGAGAAGCUGCUAAAGUGACACCUCUGUGCACCCACAUGACUUAACACAAAAGUUAACAGGAGCUCUUCAAAAACAAGCCUCUCGAGUGUCUGUCUCCUGUUUUCCCUGAGGACAGCAUCAGUGGCAUCAGAUAGGGGUUGGGGCUGGGUGACCUGCUGGUCCUCAGCCAUCACUGUGGCCCAGAGGUCAUUUAAGCAGCUCUCUGCUUAGCAGACAGGCAGAGGGAAUAGAUGGAAGGUACAGGUAAACACUGCAUGUGGCCACCGCGAGGAUACCCCGGAGCCUGGGAAACAGACAGGGACGUCGUAAAACCAACACAUAAUGGACCAGUGCAGAGACAGGCAAAACCAGUCAGAAGAAAUAGGAUGGUGCCUAGCCCAGGGACACCUGACUUAAGGUAUUUUUGUUUGUUUGUUUUGUUUUUUGAGACAGGGGUCUCUCUCUGUCACCCAGGCUGGAGUGCAGUGGCAUACUCACUGCUCACUGCAGUCUCAACCUCCCAGGCUUAAGCGAUCCUCCCACCUCAGCCUCCUUAGUAGUAGCUGGGACUACAGGUGUGCACCAACACAUCCAGUUCAUUUUUGUAUUUUUUUGUAGAGGUGGAGUUUCGCCAUGUUGCUCAGGCUGGUCUCGAACUGGGCUCAAGCGAUCUGCCCGCCUCGGCCUCCCAAAGUGUGGGGAUUACAGGCGUGAGCCACCACACCUCGUUGACCUAAGGUAUUAACUAAAGAAAGCAGGUGAUUCUCAGGGGGGCUAUGAAAGCAGCAUGCCUAAGGGACAGGAACGUACCAUGAAGGUGUUGUCUUUUGAGGCUCAGUCCAGGAGAAGCAGGUCUUUUAGACCCAAUGACAACGCUCCCUAGUGUGCAGGUGCGUCUCUCUGAUGACAAAAGGCAGUGUGAUUGUGAUAUUUUAUAUAUAUAUAGUUUUUGUUAUUGUUGUUUUGGGGACAGGUCUCACUCUGUCACCCAGACUGGAGUGCAGUGGUAAGAAUACGGCUCACUGCAGCCUCAAAAUCCCAGUUUCAAGCGAUCCUCCCACCUCAGCUUCCUGAGUAGCUGUAACUACAGGCAUGCACCACCUGGCUAAUUUUUCAAAUUUUUUUAUGGAGACUGGGUCUCAUUAUGUUGCCCAGGCUGGUCUCAAAUUCCUGGGUUUAGGCAAUCCUCCUGCCUCGGCCUCCCUCAAUACUGAGGUUACAGGCGUGAGCCACUGCACCAAGCCUAUAUUUUGUUUUUUGUUCACGGUUCCUGGCUUAUAACUCCCAUGGCCCUUGUUACAGUAAACACGAUCUCCCUCCCUGACAUUCUUCUACCCUCCUUUCACCUGCCCACAGCAGGACUUUAAUCUGAUUCUGCGUGUAAUCUCAUUGCAGAGAGGGUCCUGCCGGUAUUACCCUGGAGGAAGGAAUGCUGCACAGAGGCCGAGAGGAAUUUGAACAGACUGGCCUUGCUGGGUUUUUAUCUCUUUUUGUCCAAUCCCAUUUUGACACAGUUGUCCAUGCUCCAAUCAUGCUUAUCCAAUGAAGUUUCCAUAACAGGCCUGAGAGGACAGGGUUCAGGAGCUUCCGGACAGCUGAGCAGGUGGAGGUUCCUGGAGGGUGGUGUGCCAGGGAGGGUGUGGAAGCUCUGCCCCUUCCCCCAUACCUUGUCCUAUGCAUUCCUUUAUCUGCAUCCUUCAUUUUAUUUUAUUUUUUUUUGAGACGGAGUCUUGCUCUUGUCGUCCAGGCUGGAAUGCAGUGGUGCGCGAUCUUGGCGCACUGCAACCUCCGCCUCCCGAGUUCAAGAGAUUCUCUUGCCUGAGCCUCCCGAGUAGCUGGGAUUACAGGCACCCGCCACCAUCCCUGGCUAAUUUUUGUAUUUUUAGUAGAGAUGGGGUUUCACCAUGUUGGCCAGGUUAGUCUUGAACUCCUGACCUCAGGUGAUCCACCCACCUCAGCCUCCCAAAGUGCUGAGAUUACAGGCGUGAGCCACAGUGCCCGGCCUGUAUCCUUUAUAAUAUCUUUUAUAAACAACCAAUCAGUAAAUGUGUUACUCUGACUUCUGUGAGCUGCUCUAGCAAAUUAAUCAAAUCCACAGAAGGGUCAUGGGAACCCCAACUUGAAGCCUGUCCGUCAGAAGUUCCAGAGUCCUGGACUUGUGACUGGUGUCUGAAGUGGGCAAGUCUUGGGGACUGAGCCCCUAGCCUGUGGGAUCUGAUGCUAUCUCCACAUAGAUAGCAAUGGAAUUGAAUUGGCGGGCACCUGGCUGGUGUCUGCUGCAGAGCUCAUUGUUUGCUUAGUGGUGGAGAGAAGUCUCCCUCCACAUGUGGUCACAGCAUCUUCUGUCUGUGUUGAUUGCUUUUGAUGUUGAUCGAGAGAACAGGAAAAAGCACAUUGAAUGUCUCAAUGAUGAAGAUGACAAUAAUCUGGCUUCUAGGUUGUUAUGCGGCAGGCAACAGCUGUGCAGAUCCUAAUAAUCUACUCUGGGUGACAGUUUAACACAGGGGUUGGCAAAUGUGGCCCACUUCCUAUUUUUAUAAAUAAAGUUUUAUUGAAACAUGGCCAUGCUCAUUCAUUUACAUAUCAUGCUGCUCUGCUAGAGUUGAGUGGUGGUGAUAAGACACCUAUGGUCAAUAGAGUCCUUUACAGAAGAAAGGAUUUACUAUUCGGCCCUUUACAGAAAAAGUCUGUCAUCCUGCCCUCAUUCAUUAGUAGACAACCAGCUGGUUCCUGGACUUCCUUGAGGAAAGUGCUAUAUUAAGCAGUUGUGGGUAUAAAGUCUGGGCUCCAACACUUGCUCUGUGACCUUGGGCAAGUUACUUACCUAGUCUGGGCUCAUCAUUUUCACAGGUAUAACAGGAGUAAUGACAUGGUGGGGAUGAAGUGGGAUAUUGUCUGGACCACGCUUUGCAUAGUGUCUCAUGGCUAGGAAGUACUCUAUACAAAGUAGUUACUAUUAUUAGCUAUUAUAUUUCAACUGAUGAAAGGUACAAAGAAACUCCCAGGAAGCGGGUCAUUGCUGCAUGCCGCUGUCUUUAAAGAACGCCCAGCAGCAAUCCCAUACGUAGCCAACAAGAUAUGUGGACGUCAAAAGUAAGUGCUCCUUGGGUGCAGCACACCAACAUGGCACAUAUAUACACAUGUAACAAACCUGCACGUUGUGCACAUGUACCCUAAAACUUAAAGUAUAAUAAUAAAAAAAUUUUAAAAAAAAGUAAGUGCUCCUAUGCAACAUACCCAGUAAAUUAAUGAUUCCAACUUCCUUUUCAGUUAAAGCAGUGGAUCAGAAUUUGAAAAGGAGUAAAGGUCAAGGCCAUGAGGUCUAACUAACACGGUAGCAUCAGAGCCUGGCCCAUAGUAGGCCCCCAGUGUCUACCGGCUGAAUGGAUGGAGGCUGGUUGUUUAACUGUCAAACCAUACUCUCUGAUGAUAAGACCACAGUUAGCCAGAAGAUAAAGUUUCUGCCUCCAAUAUUUUUGGGUCUUAGAAAGGAAAACAGUUUGCUAAAGAUGACAGGAAACUCAAAACAAGGACCUGUUAAUGCUUCCCCCAACUGGACGGAGGCAUUGCAAAAGGAUUCCUGGGCAACAGAUGGGCAAAGAAAAAUGUUUAAAAACAAAAGCAGGCACAUAAGGUCAUGAAUUGGCCCAAAAUAACCUGGGACACUGAGCAGACGGAUGCAAGCAGUGCACCUGACGGAAAUGAGGCCAAGCUGAUGAGCUGAAAUAGCCUCACUGGUGCCCUCCAUCCUGCUUUAGGAGGCCUCAGCAUGGCAAAGAGGCAUGCAUUAGCGUUAUUAGGUUUAGGUUUCCUCACAUCCUUAGUGGAUUGCCUUCAUUCCUAAGUCCCUAAAAAAUUGGAAACCACUCCACUUACCAGGAGCACACUUUGGAAUGCAGAUCUGGAAGCUAUUUUUUCCCUCCAGACAUUUCAUGACUUUGGUUUCUACAACAGCAGGCGAUGGUGAUGCUGCCAAGUUUCAAGAGAAGGGCACCUUAUCUGCAAAGUCACGAAUCCAAGGAUCCACAUGGGCUCCCACUGGCAAGGGCGGAAGGAAGUUGUGUGUCUUAGCUUCUUGAAAGAUCAGAAGAAGAUUGGGAGGUUUGGGUAUACAGGUACCUCACUGUACUGUGGUGCAACCCCCAGGGGAAAGACUGCUGGUAGCUUCUCAGAAUCAGUAGUGGGUGGGGGCUGUGUAGCAGAGCGUCGUAGUAAAUGCCCAUUUGGUUGCAAUGAACAGAAACUCAAACCAGCUAAAGCAAAAAGAGGGCACCUAUAGGGAAGAAAAGCCAGCUCCUGAUGUCCAAGCCUGACUCUUCAGCUUUGCAUAGCCACUGAUUCUCUGACCUUCCUCAUUUCCUCCCAGUAAACUCUCUUUCUGUUUAAGUUAGCCACAGGAGGUAUCUGUUGUUUACAACCAAGGGAUCUUGAGUGAUACAAAGGGUCCUAGUGGAACCCAAGGGCAGGUACUGGAACUGGCCUUCACAAGGAAGGGAACUGGGAAUCAGAAAGUCAUUGGGAAUCAAGGUAACUUUCUUCUGGGUCAGCUGGGAAUGUAUUCAGCUUCAAAUAGCAGAAAACCCAAUGUGAGUAGAUUGUAAAAAUCUGGAGCUCCUCCCACACAGACUCUGGCUUUAUCUGAUGGGAUAUUAACAAACAUAAGGCAAGUAGAAACUUGAAAAGUGCUUGUGCACUGGGGCUUGUUCUCACCUGCUGUUCUUGGCAACCUGUGGCCACCACAUGUGAACGAGCCUAGUCCAGUCGGCUGAAGGAUGAGUGGGCCUGCUGAGCAGAGACAAAGCGUGGCAGUGGAAGGCCUCUCUAGACCAGGUUUCUCAACCUCAGUGCUACUGACAUUUUAGAUCAAAUAAUUCUUUGUUAUGGGGAGUUCUUUUGUCCAUUGUAGAAUGUUUAGCAGCACCUUUGGCCUCUACCUCUAGAAGAGCACCUGCCCUUCCUUCGUUGUGACAACUAAAAUUAUGUCCAGACAUGGCCAAAGUUCUCUUGGGGGGCAAAAUUGCUCCUUGUUGAGAACUACUACCCUAACCCAACUUGCCUGCCAAGGCCAGGUGUAUGAGGCCAGGUGUAUGAAAGAGGCCAUUCUAAACCAUCCAGCCCCAGCCAAGACAGUCCAGACAGGAAAAGUGUGCAGCUUGACCCAUGGAAUCAAAAGAAAUAAUAAAUAUUUG